UAAUACGUAGGUGGCAAGCGUUGUCCGGAUUUACUGGGCGUAAAGCGUGUGUAGGCGGACCUUUAAGUAGAAAGUGAAAGGUUGGAGCUCAACUCCAACACUGCUCUCUAUACUGGAGGUCUUGAGUGCCGGAGAGGAAGAUGGAACUGCACGUGUAGCGGUGAAAUGCGUUGAUAUGUGCAGGAACACCAAUGGCGAAGGCAAUCUUCUGGACGGAGGAGCGCAAGCUUCUUAAAACUGACGCUGAGACACGAAAGCCAAGGGAGCAAACAGGAUUAGAUACCCUGGUAGUCUUGGCCCUAAACUAUGAUCACUAGGUGUUGGGGUUCAUGCCUCAGUGCCGCAGCUAACGCAUUAAGUGAUCCGCCUGGGGACUACGGCCGCAAGGUUG
rnacentral:rRNA from 1 species